rnacentral:rRNA from 1 species
AUGAACGCUGGCGGCGUGCCUAAUACAUGCAAGUCGAGCGAACAGACGAGGAGCUUGCUCCUCUGACGUUAGCGGCGGACGGGUGAGUAACACGUGGAUAACCUACCUAUAAGACUGGGAUAACUUCGGGAAACCGGAGCUAAUACCGGAUAAUAUAUUGAACCGCAUGGUUCAAUAGUGAAAGACGGUUUUGCUGUCACUUAUAGAUGGAUCCGCGCCGCAUUAGCUAGUUGGUAAGGUAACGGCUUACCAAGGCAACGAUGCGUAGCCGACCUGAGAGGGUGAUCGGCCACACUGGAACUGAGACACGGUCCAGACUCCUACGGGAGGCAGCAGUAGGGAAUCUUCCGCAAUGGGCGAAGGCUUGACGGAGCAACGCCGCGUGAGUGAUGAAGGUCUUCGGAUCGUAAAACUCUGUUAUUAGGGAAGAACAAAUGUGUAAGUAACUAUGCACGUCUUGACGGUACCUAAUCAGAAAGCCACGGCUAACUACGUG